rnacentral:rRNA from 1 species
GCCCACUGAAAUUUUUAAAUGGCCGCAGUAAUUUGACUGUGCAAAGGUAGCAUAAUCAUUAGUUUUUUAAUUAAAAGCUUGUAUGAAAGGUUGGACGAAGUAAAAUCUGUCUCUAUUUAAAUUAAAUUAGAAUUUAAUUUUUAAGUUAAAAAGCUUAAAUUUUAAUAAAAGACGAGAAGACCCUAUAGAGCUUUAUAAUUUAAUUAAAUAUAAUAAAUUAAGAUUUAUUUAAGUUUUAUCAAUUAAAUUAUUUUAUUGGGGUAAUAGGAAGAUUAAAUAAAUUCUUUUUUAAAAUUAACAUUUAUUUAUGAUAUUAAUGAUCCAUUUUUAGUGAUUAUAAGAUUAAGUUACCUUAGGGAUAACAGCGUAAUUUUUUUAGAGAGUUCAUAUCGAUAAAAAAGUUUGCGACCUCGAUGUUGGAUUAAAGAUUAGUUUAGGUGUAGAAGUUUAAAUUUUUGGUCUGUUCGACCAUUAAAUCUUUACAUGAUCUGAGUUCAGACCGGUGUAAGCCAGGUCGGUUUCUAUCUUUAUUACAUUUAAAUAUUUUAGUACGAAAGGACCAAAUAUUUGAUAUAUUUAUAUUUAAUUUUUGAAUAUUAAUAUUAUUUUGGCAGAUUAGUGCAAUAAAUUUAGAAUUUAUAUAUGUAAUUAUAUUUUACAGAUAAUACUUGUUUUAUAUAGAUUUAUUAUUUUCUUUAAUUUGUAUAUUAUUAUUAUUAAUUUGUGUUUUAGUUGGAGUUGCUUUUUUAACUUUAUUAGAACGUAAAGUUUUGGGUUAUA